AUGUUCAGGAAGAAACCAUCCUGAGUGAUAUAACCCAGUCACAAAAAGAAGAACAUGAGCAAAGGAUACCCAGUCUACAAUCCACAACCCCAGAGAAUUUGAGAAACAGGAGGACCCUCGGAGUGACAUAUAUGGUCCCCUGGAGAAGGGGAAAGGGACAAGAUCUCCUGAGCAAAUUGGGAAGGCGGGGUGAGGAUGGAGGUGGGAGAAAGGGGAGGGGAUUUCCUCAAAUCUUUGAGACUAAGUUAAUUAUGUUAUUUUAUUUAUUUACUUAUUAUUUUUUCUUAUCUUAAUUUGACUUGAAAAAUAUACAUUUUUAGACACUAAAUACUAAACAAAAUUCAAAUAAAACACUUUGAUAAAUUGGUAAAUCUGCUAGCCACUUUAUUUCUUCAUUGUUUUUGAAAGAGAAAAUGACUUAUGCCAUUUUAACUCCAAUUUAUUUUAUGUUUAUGCUUAUCUAAUUUAAUUUUUACUUAUUGUGAAAACAUCUCUAGGAUUGAUUGCCCUCUAGCUCAAUAUGCAACUAGGCAUGCCUUUGAACUGGUCCUACUAUAUCUAUCUUCUAAGUCUCAGGUAUGGUACUUGUAACCAAACUGAGGGAUUCACAAAUUGUUGGGAGCCUAGUCUCAGAUAAGCAUAUGACAACUUGUCCAACAGGUUUCCAUGGGGCAUAACACCUGAUAAAAUGGACUCUCACUUCACAAGAACCAGUAGUCCAUGUCUCUGUCAUUACAUUGAUGAUUCUUUGAGCAGUUUUUAGUUUUAUUUUGUCAGUCAUACAUGCAAUAGGUAUAACCUUACCUGGAAAUUCUGUUCCUUUUCAAAUAUUUUCUCCUAAGAUUCAACAGGAGCUAAUGUUUCUCAAAUCUCUUAUCUGGAAUUACUAACUACAACUUUUAAUCCUAGGAGUUUUUCUGACUCAAUAGUCAGGUACAUAUGAGAAAACAACAUUUGGAACACUAACCAUGUCUCACAGUUCUGGAAAGGAGCGUAAGGCAUGCAUACACAGAAUAGGGGAAAAGCCUCAGGAAUAUACAUAGUACCAACUGUUGAGAGUAAGUUUCAUGGAAACUAAGGAUACAGGGUCAAUGAUAGAAUCUAGUAUAUUCUGGUGGGAAUAAUGCAAACUAUGGGAUGGAUAGAUCCAUCUUUACCAUAUGUAGGAACUCAUAUUGGUGGGAAAGAAUGAUAUAAUGAGAUGGGAAAAGUGUGCUUUGUCAAAAUAUGCCUUUUACGGAGAGAUUAAAACAUGGGGCCCUCUUGUAGAAAAGGCAACUGUAUAAAAUAUGUCUUGGAGGUAUGCAAUAAUUAUCUGGGUUUGCAUAUUAUUGUCCUUAAACCACUGCACUCAUGUCUAUUACAUUUUAGUUUAGUAACUACAAGUAGCUGUCAGCUGAUAUAAGUACUGCAAGAGCAGAAUGUAUCUGGCUUGAUAUUUAGUUAAACCUGGAAAAAUACUGAACUCUGUGUCUAGAAUAAGGGGGUAAGAAGGUAUAUUGGGAAAGCAUAAAGGGGAACAGUGGGAACUUUCAUAAUGAUCACUAUGUAUUCCUUAAAUUGUGGUGCAUUUCUUAAUGUCAAAACUAGAAGCCAUUUAUAACGCUAUUCAUACAAUCCUUGUAAGAAAAAACUGCUUAAGUAUAAAUACGGGCUGGAGAGAUGGCUCAGCCAUUACAGACUAGGCUCAUAACCAAAAAUAUAAGUAUAAAUAAAGAUAACCUGAGUUACUAGGGGCCACGUGAAAGGAAUUCACUUGGUGGUUAGAAGUUUUCUUUGCACCGACACCCCUUUUCCACCUCAGGACCUGGAACUGAUCCUGGCAAUAAAUACUAGUCAAGCAUGCUACCAGCUAAACCUAUUUCAACUUGGUAUAAAGCAAUUCUUAAGUGUCAUGAAUUAUGAUUAGUAACAGUAUUGAUUGCCCAUGACUGUGCUGCUUCAUAGUACUUAUUUAAAGAUUACAAAACAUGGAGUCUGUAUAUUUCCACCUUAUUAGAUGCUAGUAUGAGUUCACACCCUCUAGUUCUUAAUCUACUUCACAUUAUUAACUCUUAUUGAGAAUGUUCUUGAAGAUGUGUCUGUUUAUUGUCCUUUGCAGCUUUUACAGAAUCCAACAAAAUAUAAAUCAAAACAAAUAACUUCAACAUAUUUUUAUUGAAAGUCAUAUGACCAAGUUUACAAUUGAAAAGUAAGGCAAUUUGCUCUUUUCCAUUUUUGUCAAUGUCUUAAUAGUUUACUCAAAGGAAGAGGGAUUUACAUAUCUACUUAAGUAUUCAGGCUGGUGUGAUGUUAUGUCUAAUGUAGCUUUGAAUUUUAUUACAUUCUUGUGAUAGAAAGCUAAAGAAAGGCAAACAAGCCUCUGCUAUUAAGAAAAAGAAAAACAACCACACUUUAAGCUUAUAAAUUUUCUAAAGGACAUUUGAAAUCCUCAGAAAUAUUUUGACAAUACUUUUGAGACCAGGGCAGUUGGACGUCACUGACCUUAUCCUUCAGUGCAUUGGUGUUUACAUCUCAGCUCUGCAUUUCCUAAACCAGUUGCUUGUGAAUGUUUUUUACAUAUCUGUGCUACACUGAUGAAUUGCUGAUAAAACCAAGGCCAAAUAAUUAUACUAGUGUUACCUCCAGCUUUGCAACUGCUCCUCCUGCUGUCAUAUUUGCUUUCAUUUAUCUUUAGACAUCAACUGAAAUGGCACCUCUGUGACACCUGAGUCACUCACUCAUUUUCCUUUUGAUGUACUUCACACAUCAUUUUGUUAUUUUAACAGCCAAAAGAUAUUAAUUACAAACUGUGAGUCAAGGUGUCUACAAAACUGUACUCUAGUCUCCUGAAAUGAAUGUUAUUUUUACUGUCAACUUAAGAUAUUCAAAUUCACAGGGAACUCCAUCUUUGGGCAGUUAGGCAUUUUGUUUCCUGUACCUGAUUUCAUUCCUGCAUUGGGGAGAAUGCUUGCUGUUCAAGGAAUACGACAUGAAUUUCUGAUGACUCUUCAUGUCUGGUGAUGUCCGUCUUGACGUUUCUAAUGGAGGAACCUGUGCUUAUGGCUUAUGUGGCACUUGUCAGUUGCUCUCACAACAUCCUGAAGUGUUAGGGUCUCUACUGGGUGGGGGGUGACAUGCCUGCCCGUGGUCAUUAUUAGACAGGUUUGUCCAUUCCCCUGCCACUGAUAAUGUUAACAGUUCUUGGCCUCCACCUUUGUAGGGAAAGCUGAUUCAAGGCCUUUUCCAUCAUGUCUUAUGCUUUCCCAAGAGGCCAUUUUUAUGAAAGGUGGGAUUCACAAAAUUACAGUUAACUGUAAGAUUUUUUAAAAAAUUUCUUUCUGGUAUUAUGUCUAUCCUGAGUUUUCCCUUGUUGGGAAGGCAGCAGAAAGUUAAGAUCUGAGAAAGAAAGAGGAAUCAGAGCAAUGAGAGAUAUACUCAAACAUAUCUAGGCAUAUAUGCAAUGGGUGCACAUGUUUUACUUGUUUUGUUUUGCUUUUUAACCCCUCCUCAAUUUGCACACCUUGGGCUUGGGAUCGCUGACUAUGUAUGGAGAGGAAGUGAAGACAAAUGAACAGUAAAGCUAGGAUGAUAUGGAGUCCGUUACACAGGCAAGAUGGAACCUCAGCAUAUUUAUUACCUAGCGUACAGGGACAAGGACUAGCUAGUCUGGAUGGAGGGUGUCUGUUGAUGAGCAGUCUAAGACUAUAAAUAUCUGAGCGGAGGAAACCUCUCAUGCCAUCUUUUGUACAAUCCAAUGAUCAUUCAGAAACAUCUAUUCUGGAACUCUCAAGGAAAGCUUUUCCAAUCCUCUUGAGCCUUAUUAGGGUAAGGCUUUAGCAGUUCCUUGGGACUGAAGCAUUGGAGUCUGGGCUUGGUGGCACCCAUGUUAACAAUGCACAUUCACUCAGAACUCCAUGUACUCAGAGAUUUCUCUGCUCCCGACAGAACCCCACUCACCAUCCCUGUGUAUACCUACAGAGAUGCACUCCUUUUCCCAUUUCUAAAUACCACAACUUUGGUAUAAGAAAGUUCGAAUACCAAGAAUAGUGACUCUCAAACAGUAGGACCUCUAUAAAUGUUUAAUCUAGGAAGCUAAGCAUUAAUUAAAGUAUUUUAGGUAGCAUUACACUUACUGUAUCUAAAUUCUGGUGUUUUUUUAACCAAAGAAUAUAAGCUUUUGUGUUCUUUCUUAUUUGAUUUAUAGAACUCAAGGACUAAAGACUGUAGAUAAAAUAUUGAUGUCCUUCUCUAAGGGCUUUAAUAUACUAAACAAGUUCUUAAUAAACUGGGGAUGUUCAGUGAAUAUCAAUGCAUCUUCUUUAGUAAGGCACUGAGAAGAAUAAUAACUAUACUUUCAACCCAGAAUUGUUCAUAAAAUGUCUCAUUUCCCACUACUGAAAAAAAUAAUAAUCCAGCAUAUAGAAAUAUGCACACUAAUGUAUUUGAAUCAACUGUAAUAUCUCUAGCAUUAACCAAUACUGUACAAUAGCAUUUAGACUCAGUCAUGGAUGUUAGAUUUGGCUCAGUAACCUAUAGAUAUUUAUUUUGCUUUUAUGUUUCUAUUUCUAUGUAUAAAUGUCAUGAGACAAAACUAAGUGUAGUAUCACUAAGAGGAAUAAAAGGUUCUACUUGUUUGAAUAUAUCCUUCACAGACUAUCUCAAUGAACUCUUCCUUAUUCAUUUUCUAGCUUCUGAAGUUUAGAUUUAAGUUUCAGCUUAGAAAAUAAGUUAAAAUUUAUAAUUAUGAAUUCCAUUGUUUUAUUGUCUCCUGAACUCAUUAAUUUUUUUCUAAGAACGAUUAUUUUCAGGUGACAAUUAGCUCUAAUUGUGCUUGCACAUGUGUUUAAUUUGGGGAUGUGUUGGAAAUCUCUUUUUCUCUGACCUGAUAUGAAUAUGCUUUUCAUUCUUAGGUGGCCACAGCAAUGGUGACCUUUUGUAUCUCCCCUACUUAGCACUGUUGUUUUCAGUUCCAAGAUUUGCAUGAUGCUGAACAUUGCUGAAAUUCUGAGAUCUCACUACUUCUGCACUCAAGCUUAAUUUGUAUUACUGGCUUCACCCUGGACUUUGUUCAGGUCCAAGUCAAGGUUCACAAACAAUUUAGAAGGUUUUUGUCCUUUUCAGGAAAGCCUCUGUGAUCAUGCAUUUUCUACUCUAUUAAUAUUGUCAACUAUUUGUCUUCAGCACUCCUGAAAUGCAUUUGAGCUAUAUUUACUAUUAUUUGAAGAAAGACCACUCAACCAAUCUGAAUGAAAAACAUUUCACUGGUGACUGAAAUUUCAACACAGAGAUAUUGUAGUCAGAAAAAAGAGCAGUGCUCAUUACAUACCCACAUAUUUUAUGUAAUUGGAGCUUUCCCCCAAUAUGUUUAUAUUUAACUAUUGUAAUAUGCUUUGGUAGUGUGAAUAUCAUGAUGCUUAAAAGAAAAAACAGUAACAAAAUAAAGGAAAACAACCAACCAACCAACCAAACAAACAAAACCCAACUUUAACACCUCUUCAAGUUUGGGAUUCCUUUAUUUGUUUGCAUUUAAAAAUCUGCAAUGUUUCCCUCGUCAUGUAAAAGCCAAGAGUGAAAAACUCUGGCAUCCAACUUUAUCAAGAAAGGAACUACUGAAUAAUUUGAAUUAACAGUCAUUUUCGAAGAUGAAUUUUUUAAUGUUAGAUAUUCUUAGUUAUUAUAAUUAAUAUAAUUAUUCAUCAUAUAAUGGAAAUGAUCUUGUUUUAAAAGUAAAAUUUCAAGUCGUUUUUUCAGAGAUGUGUUUGGGGAAAUUUGAGAAAACAUGGCAGAAAUCUUUCUUGUCAUAUGUUAACUCUUUAUUGACUAUUUUACACAAAACUCAUUAAAGUAGUGUGUUAUAGCCUGUGCCUAUCGAUUAGCACUUAUUUUCUCAUGAUUGUGACAAACUAAUUUGCAUCAGUAUGUAAUCACAGUCAGGGCUUGUUUUAAUUUAGAUUCUGUAUCCGAUAAAAUUCAUAAUUAAAUUCAGAUCCAAGAGAGUC